GUAGAUGGUGUAGAGAAUUCCGAGUGUGAAGAGAAGGAUAAGAAGCUGAAUUAGUAUGUCUGACUCCAUUGUUAUUAGCUCAGCCAAACAGGGGAGUUAGCCCCAUUCAAUCCUUGUACUCGAAUGGAGGACUGUGAAGCUGGUAAUUGUACCUUUUUUCUGUUUUGUUUUUAAACUUUGGGCUGUCUGGAUUAUUUCUUGAGGCCCAUGCUGAAUGAAGGCCCAGUAAUUGAAACUGCCUCUUGAGGUCCAUUUGUGGAGUUCCUUUUCUUUUUGGGGAUGGGGAAGGGGUGGGUGAUGGGUUUAGGGGGUGAGUGGAACAGAUAUAAGCAUAUUAAUGAUGCUCAAUUUGGGGGGAUCAAAAAAUGAAAGUUUAAUAAGUUUAGUGAUUGUACUGUUAUUAAAAAAAAUGUUGAUGAUAGAUUUCAGACUAAGUACUACAAUUUCAAUGUCAUAAAAUGUAAAAUGUUUAUGAAGAGUUGUAAGGACAUAAAGAUGCAAGUCAUAUUUUGACGAUUUGAAUUGCUCAAAAUGAUGCAGAGCAUUUGUGUUUCCGUGCUCUCCUUUCCUUUUCUGUGGAAGGUGAACUAUUGAAAUUUAUGAAGGUCCCCUAAAGAUCACAAAUUAUGAAUAGUAAGAUGUUUGAUGACUCACAAGUAAGGAGACUCCAACAUACAUUUAAAGUUUCUUUUUGGUAUAAGCCUAUUUGUACACCUUUGACACUUUAAUAGGCCAAGCCGUUUGAUGUUGACUUCUUUUCAACACAUCAAUUGUCCCUUUUUCAAUUAUAAAAGAAGUAUGUUGUUUGAUGUCGCGGUAAGAAUUGACAUGGAAAUUUGACAACUGGUUGGUAUCCAGAUCCUUAAUUAGCUCCUCAAAAUUUUGGUAUGCACAAAGAUGUUUGAUUAACCAUAAUAAAAUAUCACAAAGUGAGUUCUCCAAACGCCAUUUUCUUUUUACCUCUUGACUCACUGACUUUAACUAUUUUACUGACACUUUCAACAAAUAUUGUAACAAAAUAAUGGAACGCCGAAAAAAGUAAUUCAGCCAAGUAAACAUUUAACCUUCUGUUGUCACUGUAAAACAUCUUUUUUGUUACUAUAAUAAUAGUAUCUUCAGAUCCUACAAUGGCCUAUCGAGUAAGAGACAUGCUAGAGUAAUCUCAGUUUCAUAGCGUUGUUGCUUUUGGCCUUAGCUCAAUCAUACCGAAGAGUUUGGUUUCUUAGUUCACAAAAUUGAAUCAACUGAAGUAGCUUCACUAGUGCUAGUGUUUGGGUUGCUACAUGAAGGCUUAAUUGAUCUACUACGUACUGUUUCAAGCAGACGUUCUAGAUUUUUUCUUGUUUUGUGUAAUUUGCUUCUCUGUUUUAACAUAAUUUAAUGGCAAAUGCUGAAGAAACAAGUCAUAUCAUGAUAUGAUAGACCACAAUCAUUUGCUUUAUCUUUAUUCUUCAGAUACUUCAGAUGAUACUAUUAUCUCGGUUCAAGAACUAUGUUACGUGGAAUCGUUCUAUGAGAACGAGUUUGAUAACGUGUAUGAAUUUAGCUAGACUCCUGCAACUUUAUAAGGAGACUGCAAGUUUUAACUCAAGGAGUUCCAUCUCUGCCUGGUUAUUUAAGUGGAAAGAUGCAGGGAGGAUUCAAACUGAGGCUCAUACGGUGGCAAGAACAGUGCACAAUGUGAAUUGUGUCAUUUCAAGAGACACAAAAAGGUAAUUGUUACAAAUUACGUGGUUAUCCAGCUUACUGCAAACCUUUGAAUGAAUGUUUUGGAAGUCAAUCAAGCCAUUUGGCUUUAUGCAAAGUAUAGUACACUAUUACACCAUUCACAAUUACCAUCCACAUGAUCUAACUAAACUCUUUAUUGCGUGGUUCUUACAAUGAGGACACUAAGGCAGAUCUUUAACAGCCUGAUAAAUACAUAAAUGUGAUGUACAGUAGAGAAACAUUGUGGUUGAUGUCUAACUUAGAACUACAAACGACUUUCAAAUUGUAUUGUCCAAGAUAUAUAGUGAAAAAGGCACAAUAUUCACUUUUACAGGAUAGGGAGUCUGACUAGAUAUCAAAGAAUACGUACUUGAGGUUCCUUUUGGUAUUAAUAUGCCUGCAAUAAGGUUUAGUGUCUCGUCAUUCUUUUUUUUUUGUGUGUGUGGGGGGCUUGGGGAUGAGGAGAGAUUGGAACUUACACCUCUUGCUUCGAGAAAGUAAAUGUGUAAAUGUUAAUGCUAUUCAUGGAACAAAACUUCAACAAAUUUUCUGCUUAAUCUGACUCAGUGUUCGUGGGAGGGCCUCUGUAAUGUGCUGGUAGUGUUGUUGGAAGAACAUUUGCCGGAUCCCUUCUGCCUUAAUGAUGGGAAAUAUGAUGCCUGAUGCAGACUGAACAAAAAAAAGAGCAUACACGCUAAAAUGGUCAUACUUUUUAACAAGGUGAACAAUUAUGCAGGAAUUGCAACUAGAACGAAGCGCAAUAUUAAAGCACAUGCUCAAAGAGUCAACGGAAACAGUUUGAAUACUGCAUUUAAGGAACAUACCGAGAUUAAUCUUGCUCCGAUCCACAACUUCUUUGGAGAAGGAAAAGGC
rnacentral:lncRNA from 1 species